rnacentral:lncRNA from 1 species
GCAGACUAACCAUUAAAUCAUUUAGCGAUUUAUAGGAUGAAGCAGAAAUUUGUAUUGCAGUUGACUAUGUUGUCUAUCAGAACAAGUACUCUACUGGAUGCACAGUAGUCUUCUCUCGUGACAAUAUUAAGUUCAGCAGCCUAGCUGUAUCUGAAGAAGACCAUGAAACCUGUAACCUUGAAAAGAGCAUUGAUGAUAUUGUUCAUAUUGGUAGUGAACGACUGG